CUAUCUCUCUUAUCUAUCGGUGGCAGCAGAGACCUUUCAUUUUUGUGACCUUUCAUUUUGGCAGCAGAGAAUAAUUGAUUUCAUUCUGCUUCAAGAACUCCUCAAGGAGGCGUUUAGCUCUUUCAGGAUCAGAACUCUCGCAUUCAAUCUCAUAGACUGUUACAAAAUCAAAACUGGUUUCACCCACCUCCAAUUUCAAACCCUUCCAAUCCUUUUUUAGCUCCAAAUUCCUCUUGCACCCUCUUCAAAAUCCUAGACUCCAUUGACCCCAACUUUGUCGGCUCCGCCAACCAUUCACGUCCUCCUCCACGCUCCACCAUAUUUUCCCAUUCCCAAAAUUCCUCAUUCUCCCUUUCCUGUCUGAACCCUCGAUCACUCUUACACGCUCCUAUAUUCACUCCUCCACCGUCGCUCUCUCGAACAACCACAACACCAUCUUCAUCACAUGGUCAAUUUUGUUCUUUCUAAUUAUCUCUCUUCCUUUUUUCGUUUAUCUAAUUUGUUCUCACGCACCAAUAACUAAAUCCACGAAUUUCUAGUUUUUUUGUUGAAUUUUGUUGCAUCGGAAUUUUUGAGCUGGUUUCAUAUUUGAUCUAUUCAUUUAACUUGAACGAUGACUUUUUUAAUUUUUUGAAAAGGAAUUAAUCGUGGCAUUUUCAGAUUUGAUUUAGGUGUUUCGAUUGAGUUUUUCCCAAAUUGAUAGCUUAAUAUGAUAGUUAUAUUGCGGAUUUCAGUUUACAACAGCUUGUGAUGCGUGAUGUGUUUGAUCUGCAGAGAAAUCAGUUUUGUGAUCUGACAUGUGGAUUGAUUCAAUUUUUAUUUAUUGAUUUAUUUAUUUAUUUUUAUUUUAUGAUGCUGAGCAUGUGGAUUUAACUUCUUUUAUGUGAUAAUUAUGCGUGGAAUUUUCAAAUAAGGCAUAUAUUCUUGUUUUGUUUUUGUUUUUGGUUGCAUAUAUUCUUAUUCUUAUAUUAGAUUUAUUUUGGUGAUGUUUCUUAUAUGAAAUUUAUUAAUGAGUAAAUAUGAUUUUAUUUUGGGAUUUAAGUGAUGACAAAUAUAACGAGACUUUUUAUUUUUUAUUGAUGUUUACUUAUUUUGGACGAUACUGGGUUUGUUGAGUGAUUGUGCUAAAUUUUAUCAAGAACUAAUGAUGUUGUUAGUAAUCCAUUGUUGUUUUCGGGAUGGGAGGAGGCUAAAAGAUAUUUGGAUGUGGAUGCUUACGUUCAAGGAUGUUGUUUUUGGGAUUGUUGUGGAGGGAACCUUUGUUGAGGGAAUAAAGGAAGAGGUUGUACUCUCCCCUACGCAUGCUCUGUCCCUUAUAGCUGCCGGAGAAGGUAAUUGCUAAAUUAACAGAUGGAAAGGAAACUCAUAUUCCUUAUCGAGAUUCAAAGCUCACUCGAUUGUUACAAUCAUCCCUUAGUGGCCAUGGACGAAUUUCUCUCAUUUGCACAGUUACUCUUGCUUAUAGCAGUAGUGAAGAGACACACAACACAUUAAAAUUUGCACACCGAAGUAAGCAUGUUGAAAUUAAAGCUUUUCUUAAUAAGAUUAUGGAUGAGAAAUCUCUGAUCAAGAAGUAUCAGAAGGAAAUUUCUGAGUUAAAGCAGGAGUUGCAGCAGUUGAAGCGUGGCAUGGUUGAGAAUCCCAAUAUGGCCACAUCUUCACAAGAAGAUCUGAUUACUUUGAAGCUUCAGGGUUGUGCUGAUGCAUAUAUCUUGGAUUAUCUAAUAAGUGUCACUGUACUUGGUGGGAGACUUUAUAAUAUGCCAGAAUAAAAUCUUGAAGCUGUGCAAUCCAAAUUGAAGUCAAGAUUGCAAGAGGAGGAACAAGCUAAAGCAACAUUGAUGAGAAGAAUUCAACGACUAACCAAAUUAAUCUUAGUUUCUACAAAGAAUGCAAUGUCAUCAAGCAUUGCAGAAAGGCCCAGUCAUAGACGAAGGCAUUCUUUUGGGGAAGAUGAGCUAGCAUAUUUACCAGAUAGAAUAAGUUCAGUAAUUAGGGCUUUGUUGAGGAUCGGCUAGCUACCUUAAAAAAUGUCAUCAAAGAGCCUGAGUUAGACCAAUGGAAUUUGUAUCUAGGUAAUUGGGGUUACAACACCCAGAAAAAAAAAAAAAAAAGAGGAAGCUGUUGCUAUCCCCAUAAUUCAUGUUCUUGAGCUCUUCAACUUCAGCAAGAAGUUGAAAUAGAGGAAAUGAAAAUUGGUGAAAUUCUUGGGAAGUGUCUGACAAAUUUCUUACCAAUGUUCAUAGUCAAAAGGUUCCUUUAGUGAUAACAUGGACGCUACCAGUAACAACCAUUGUUCUUGUAGUUUCUUGUAAAAUUCUUGUGUGGAACAUGAUGCCUCAUCCACAUGGACAGACCCAUGGAUACUGUGAACUCAAUUGUUACUGACAUACUCCAAUGGCCUCAUAGGAUUGUGGUUCCACUUGGUGGCAUUCCUAUUGAUACCAGUGAACGGGAGCUUAAACCCCAGGGAAAACUUGCACUGACUGUAGUGAAAGCAACCACUUUAAAGUAUAUGGAAAUGAUUGGAAAAUCAGAUCCUAAUGUAGUUGUCCAUAUUCAACCAUUAUUUAAGUAUAAAACCAAUGUUCUUGAUAACAACCUGAAUCCUUUUUGGAAUGAGAAAUUUGAGUUGAUUGCAGAAGACAAGGAGACCCAAUCACUCAUUCUUGAGUAGUGAUCCCUUACCUCGAGGUAGUCGCUCAAGUGUUAUCCAUUAACAAUGAUGAUGAACUGGAUUAGAAGACUGAAGGAUGGAAUGCCAAAAUAUUUGUGGAACUGGAAAAUGGUUAUAAAGGAACCAUGGACCAUUACCGGAUGAAGGUGUUAUCUCAGCCACAGAUGACACAGGCUCAACAUGAGUUUUCUCCACUUCAGUGUUUGUUGACUUGGCUAUCUGCAAAUGGAAGAUAAUGUUGAUUUAGUUGUAUUGAUAUACUUUCUUUGCAAACAAAAGUUAUAUUAUGCUUACAGAUUUCUACCACAGCAAAACA